GCUGCAGUCCACCCGGGUGCAGCAGGGCCUCAGCCUAAACAGCGAGACUCUGGCACCGAAAACAACGCUGGGCCAGUCGUCUAGGUAUGGAUCGAUCGCUUGCCUUUUUCCGGACAAAAGAGAGCGAGAUGGAGAGAAUUCCCGAGGGUUUAUUAGCGGGACGUUUCCAAACCAAUUUCAAGGAUUUCGGAAUGAAAACGCCGGGCGGGAGAGACAUAGCGGGGAUAUAUAUUCCCUUUUGUUCCUCGUUGUAAAGCUCCGCGGCCGGUCCAUUAGCGGAGCCAGUUUCGCUCGAACGAGAAAGUCGGCGAAGCGGGGAAGCUCGCCGUCACGCUUGUGACAUCCCGCCCACCCUUUUUGUGUGUGUGUACGUGUGCAAGUUGUUGCUCGGAACGAAAACAAGGGCACACGCGACCCCGCCGGCACCGUCUCUGCUCUUCCCAAGAUCGCCACAAGGGGUCGCUGCGGCGCAAGGAGCGUUUCCCAGGAAUGUCGCACUUAUCGAGAGCGUCUACACUGUCGAAUUAAUGCAGUUCGACGCCGCUUUAACGACCCUGGCUCAAUGCUAUGGAAUCGCAUAAUAUAAUAUGACCCACACUAUUAUAAUAUAACCCAAUUUCCCCAAAAAGAACAGCCAAUGACCGCGAAGCAUUGCUGUUUGGGAUAUGUUUCUAAUUAAAUACGGAA
rnacentral:lncRNA from 11 species